rnacentral:rRNA from 1 species
CAAUGGGCGCAAAGCCUGAUGCAGCCAUGCMGCGUGUAUGAAGAAGGCCUUCGGGUUGUAAAGYACUUUCAGUCGUGAGGAAGGYGUUGUSGUUAAUAGMGGCAUCRUUUGACGUUAGCGACAGAAGAAGCACCGGCUAACUCCGUGCCAGCAGCCGCGGUAAUACGGAGGGUGCGAGCGUUAAUCGGAAUUACUGGGCGUAAAGCGCAWGCAGGUGGUUUGUUAAGUCAGAUGUGAAAGCCCGGGGCUCAACCUYGGAAUAGCAUUUGAAACUGGCAGACUAGAGUACUGUAGAGGGGGGUAGAAUUUCAGGUGUAGCGGUGAAAUGCGUAGAGAUYUGAAGGAAUACCGGUGGCGAAGGCGGCCCCCUGGACAGAUACUGACACUCAGAUGCGAAAGCGUGGGGAGCAAACAGGAUUAGAUACCCUGGUAGUCCACGCCGUAAACGAUGUCUACUUGGAGGUUGUGGCCUUGAGCCGUGGCUUUYGGAGCUAACGCGUUAAGUAGACCGCCUGGGGAGUACGGUCGCAAGAUUAAAACUCAAAUGAAUUGACGGGGGCCCGCACAAGCGGUGGAGCAUGUGGUUUAAUUCGAUGCAACGCGAAGAACCUUACCUACUCUUGACAUCCAGAGAACUUUCCAGAGAUGGAUUGGUGCCUUCGGGAACUCUGAGACAGGUGCUGCAUGGCUGUCGUCAGCUCGUGUUGUGAAAUGUUGGGUUAAGUCCCGCAACGAGCGCAACCCUUAUCCUUGUUUGCCAGCACUUCGGGUGGGAACUCCAGGGAGACUGCCGGUGAUAAACCGGAGGAAGGUGGGGACGACGUCAAGUCAUCAUGGCCCUUACGAGUAGGGCUACACACGUGCUACAAUGGCGCAUACAGAGGGCGGCCAACUUGCGAGAGUGAGCGAAUCCCAAAAAGUGCGUCGUAGUCCGGAUCGGAGUCUGCAACUCGACUCCGUGAAGUCGGAAUCGCUAGUAAUCGUGGAUCAGAAUGCCACGGUGAAUACGUUCCCGGGCCUUGUACACACCGCCCGUCACACCAUGGGAGUGGGCUGCAAAAGAAGUAGGUAGUUUAACCUUCGGGAGGACGCUUACCACUUUGUGG